AAUGAACGCUGGCGGCGUGCUUAACACAUGCAAGUCGAACGAGAAAGUGGGCUUCGGUCCAUGAGUAGAGUGGCGCACGGGUGAGUAACACGUGGGUAAUCUACCCCUCAAUUUGGGAUAACAUUGCGAAAGUGAUGCUAAUACCGAAUGACAUCCAUAAAGCUUUGGUUUAAUGGAUCAAAGGUGGCCAAUCCUUGGAAGCUACUGUUGAGGGAUGAGCCCGCGUACCAUUAGCUAGUUGGUAGGGUAAUGGCCUACCAAGGCGACGAUGGUUAGCUGGUCUGAGAGGAUGAUCAGCCACACUGGAACUGACACACGGUCCAGACUCCUACGGGAGGCAGCAGUGAGGAAUUUUGCGCAAUGGGGGCAACCCUGACGCAGCAACGCCGCGUGAGUGAUGAAGGCCUUUGGGUCGUAAAACUCUGUCAGCAGGAAAGAAGUUAUAUGUGGUUAAUACCCAUGUAUAUUGACGGUACCUGCAAAGGAAGCACCGGCUAACUCCGUGCCAGCCGCCGCCGUAAGAC
rnacentral:rRNA from 1 species